ACUCAAAGGAAUUGACGGGGACCCGCACAAGCAGCGGAGCAUGUGGUUUAAUUCGAAGCAACGCGAAAAACCUUACCAAGACUUGACAUCGUAUGAUCAUCAUAGAAAUAUGGUUUCUCUUCGGAGCAUAUAGACAGAUGGUGCAUGGUUGUCGUCAGCUCGUGUCGUGAGAUGUUGGGUUAAGUCCCAAAACGAGCGCAACCCUUAUCGGUAGUUGCCAAUAUUUAGUUAGGAACUCUGCCGAGACCGCCGCUGUAAGGUGGAGGAAGGAAGGGAUGACGUCAAAUCAUCAUGCCUCUUACGUCUUGGGCUACACACGUGCUACAAUGGCCAUUACAAAGAGCAGCAACAUGGUAACAUCGAGCAAAUCUCACAAAAAUGGCCUCAGUUCAGAUUGUGGGCUGCAACCCGCCCACAUGAAGUAGGAGUUGCUAGUAAUCCCGAAUCAGCAUGUCGGGGUGAAUGCGUUCCCGGGUCUUGUACACACCGCCCGU
rnacentral:rRNA from 1 species